GUCGCUUCAGUCGCUGCCACACAAGCGACUGCAGUGACACGAUGUGAGCGACCAGAGAGACAACAGGCGAUUUUAUCGCUUUUGAAACUAAUUACCCAGUGGUUUCCAUGACAAUCAGCAGUCCUGAUUCCACCAGUGCCCAGUGUGUGAGAGGGAGGGGAGAGGCACAGUGUGAUUUCCACUGCAUCAAACAGCAAGGGAGAUGACUGCAGGCUGCCACAGCUACUGUCGACAGACACAGAAACAAAGUGAGAAGAAACAGGCUGAAACUAAAGCUGGUGGGCAGCAGUGGAGCUCUGCGUUGGUUGCUGACCAAUACAU